rnacentral:lncRNA from 1 species
AGCUUGCCGAAAAAGUGGAGAGCAUCCCGUGAUGGUGGAGAGUAUCCUGCGACGGUGGAGAGCAACCCGCAAUGGCAGAGAGCUGAAGCCACAAGACGGUAAGGAGAAAUGAGAAAUGAGUAGUGGUGGUGUGAAACUGAGAUGGUAAAGAAAAAUGAGGAGAAAUGAGCGUGUUUGCCCAUUAUAUUGACACUGGAGGCGGAAUUUGGGCGGGAAAUUUCCCGCUCUUUUUACCGACGGCCCAAAGCCUUCGGUAAAUCCGUCGGUAAGUGACAUUAAAGUUACCGACGGGCAUGAGCCUUCGGUAAAUCCGUCGGUAAUGUCGGUAAGUGAAAUAAUGGGCG